UGUAAUUGUUAACUACUUUUUAAAAAAGUCAGAUAAUGGAAAUUUACAAAAUUUUGUAAGAACUGACAUGUACUAAAACUAUACUCACUUUGUAUAAUAGUUGUGAUCAAGAUGUUAUAUGGUUUAAAUAAAAUUUCUCAUCAUUCCAGAGCUCUCUACUAAAGCCAGAAUUUAGUUUUAAUAAUUACUGAUUGUAUCAACAUCAAUUAAUUGUGUAACUUUUAUUUUUCCCUGAAUGAAUUAAUAAAGUGUUUUAACAUUCAUUAUGUGUACUGGUGGUUUAAACUUUUCUCUCUUUUGUUUUAGUAUAUUUAAAUAUGAUUAUUCUUUUUUAUUACCAGAUGGUUCAGCAUUUUCCUGAAAGUUUAGUAAAAGUUCAAUAAGAAGUAAUCAAAAUUUAUAAAUAAGUCUAUACGUUUAGUUUCUUCCCAAAGAAGUUUACAGUUUGAGCUUGCUGUUGAAUAACAUUUUUAAAUUUCUUUUGCGACAAAACAAGUAUUGUUCUCUAGAAUGUGAAGUUUACUUCUCUAUUUUUGUAAAUGGAAAGAAAUGGAGUUGAAUAACAUUCGAUGACAGCUUGUGUUUUAUUCGUAGGAGGAAGGACUGGGCAUUUGAGGUUAGUCCCUAUGAGAGGAAGACCAUCUAAACAAUCUCUAGGGAAAAGUGCCGACCUCUCGGUUAGAAGUAAUACUUAUUGCCACUUCUGUCAUCGAGGAUUUUUUGAUAGGUCUUCUUUCAGCAGGCACAUGAAAACUCAUCUUGUUGAUAGAGAGCUCUUUCGUUGCGAUUUUUGUCAGAAACCAUUCACCUUCAAAUGGAACCUCAAAGUACACAUGAGAAGAAUCCACGAAGUUGUCACUUCGGACAGUUGAGACAGUCGGAAGUCUUGGCAUGCUUUUUUUGUAAUAUCCAGGAGCUAGCUGUUUCAGAUUAGUACCAGCAAGAGGAAGACCAUCUAAACAGUCGGCUGUUCUUAGAAACGAUGUUUACUGCUAUUUCUGUCAUCGAGGAUUUUUCAACAAGUCUUCCUUUAAAAGACAUAUGAAAACGCAUCAGGUCCACCGAGAAAUUUUCAACUGCAAAUUCUGCAAUAAAUUAUUUACUUGGAAAAGUAAUUUACAAAAACACAUGAAGAUAUAUCAUGAAUGUGUAUCGUCAAUAAGAUGAAGCCAUUUUUUUUGUAGUUAUUGUACUGUCCAAACAUAAUUUUCAUGUUUACUCUUAAAUCUGGACACUUCACAGAUUUUAAUUUAAAAAAAAUAAAACAUUAAUCCAAUUAAAUCGGUACCAUGUAUAGAAGCAGGUUCUAUCUUGUUCAAAAGAAAGUAAAUAUUGUAGUACACAGUUUGCUAUAUGGUAAUUAGUCCAGUUACAACCUAAACAGGAAAUAUUAAUUAAUCUUCAAAUGUAAAUAGAAUUUACUCCAUGUAACUUAGCCAUCAUUAAAAUUUAGGACAUACUACACUAAAGAAACUACGGAAUGAAAUGGCUUUUAUGAAAGAGACUGUUUGUAACAAUCAACUAUCUAUCAUGUUUUUAUAAAGUUUAUCAUGCUUACAAAUUAAUAAAAAUCUACUUUUCAGUGUAUGACCUCAAAUUAGGGCUGCGACUAGUACCAGCACGAGGAAGACCAACAAAGCAGUCAGUGAGGUCUUAUGAUACCAGUGCCUACUGUUCGUUCUGCAAGCGAGGAUUCUUCAACAGGUACAAUUACAGAAGGCAUAUGGAAUCGCAUCAGAUAGCCAGACCUUUCUUUCAGUGUAAAGUGUGCUCCAAAAUGUUCACUUUAAAAACUAACCUCAGGGCUCACGAAAGGAAAGUACACCAGUGUUGAACCACUGUAACAGGAUUUCACUGAAUAAAUUCCAUCUCAAGAGGUGCAUACAUUUUAAUUAUUACUACAUGGUU